rnacentral:rRNA from 1 species
AUUGAACGCUGGCGGCAGGCCUAACACAUGCAAGUCGAACGAGUGGCGGACGGGUGUGUUAUGUCUGGGAAACUGCCUGAUGGAGGGGGAUAACUUCUGGAACCGGUAGCUAAUACCGCAUACCAUCAGAUGUGCCCAGGUGGGAUUAGCUAGUAGGUGGGGUAAUGGCUCACCUAGGCGACGAUCCCGCGCUGGUGGGAGAGGAUGACCAGCCACACUGGAACUGAGACACGGUCCAGAUUCCUACGGGAGGAAGCAGUGGGGAAUAUUGCACAAUGGGCGCAAGCCUGAUGCAGCCAUGCCGCGUGGGUGAAGAAGGCCUUCGGGUUGUAAAGUACUUUCAGCGGGGAGGCGUUACCCGCAGAAGAAGCACCGGCUAACUCCGUGCCAGCAGCCGCGGUAAUAC